GUUUCUACAUUUACCAUGUGAUAAUUAGCUAGAACAUUUAAGCUAAUGGUACUACAUUAUGACAAAUGAAGAAUAAUAUUUGCUAGCAUUUUGUUAGUUAGGAUGUACUGCUUUUACAAUGUACUACUGCCCUUUUUUUUUUUAUGUGUUUAGUAAGUCAUAAAAAAUGAAAAAGGUAUGUUUGUUUGGAUAGUUAACUGCCUGCUAUUUUAUUACACAUGGUGUAAGAAAUUCUUUUAUCCAAAUGUGAAUGACUUAAUACAUGUUAGAUUAGUUGAGAUAUUUGCUCAAAAAUAGUAAAGUAUUUGCAUCACUUCAAGUUUACAUACAUUGUUGACUGAUCUUUGGCUCAAUAUUAAGUUACUAAUUUUUGCCUCUUUCUAUGUUUCAUGUACAACCGGAGGGCUGGAGUUUCUACUUUGAAACUCGUUAUUGGCCUAAAAUAUUAGGCCAACAGCAAUUAGGAUCAUCGCGAUGCUUGGAGUCUCGCAAAUUAGGAGUCCAAUAUUUCUUAGCCUUCCUCUUUUCAGGUCUUAAUUAUAUUGUUUGGAUAUAUUGGCUAACCUUUACUUACAAGUUUUGAUAUGUUGCUUGUCUUUUAUUUUGAAGCUUAUUUUACAUGAACUAAUAUUAUUUGUUUAUGAAUUUAGUUGAGACACCUUUAGAACAAAUGAUACAAAAGAUAUUUUCUUUAAAAAA
rnacentral:lncRNA from 1 species